GCUCCUGUGGGCAAACUGGCUAAGCCGCCACUCUUUCAAGGUGGAGAUUGCGGGUUCGAAACCCGUCGGGAGUA
rnacentral:tRNA from 1 species